AUACGGAAGGUGCAAGCGUUAAUCGGAAUCACUGGGCCUAAAGCGCUCGUAGGUGGCUUUGUAAGUCAGGUGUGAAAGCCCACGGCUCAACCGUGGAAUUGCACUUGAUACUGCAUUGCUUGAGCUCGGGAGAGGGUAGUGGAAUUCCAGGUGUAGGAGUGAAAUCCGUAGAGAUCUGGAGGAACACCAGUGGCGAAGGCGGCUUUCUGGACAGUAACUGACGCUGAGGCGCGAAAGCGUGGGGAGC
rnacentral:rRNA from 1 species